rnacentral:rRNA from 1 species
CGAAUCUUUGAACGCACCUUGCGCUCCUUGGUAUUCCGAGGAGCAUGCCUGUUUGAGUGUCAUUAAUAUCUAUAUCAAUCCCUCCUUCUCUUGUGUAGGAGUGGUUUGGAUUUGGGGGGUUUUGCUGGCCUCUUAAAAAGGUUCAGCUCCCCUGAAAUGCAUUAGCAGAACAAUCCUUGUUCAUUGGCGUGAUAACUAUCUAUGCUAUUGAAUGUGAGGUGCAGUUCAGCUUUCUAACAGUCCUUUGGACAAAUUCAUCAUUAAUGUGACCUCAAAUCAGGUAGGACUACCCGCUGAACUUAAGCAUAUCAAUAAGCGGAGG